ACGGGUGCGGAACACGUACAGAACCUUCCUUUAAGUGGGGAAUAGCCCAGAGAAAUUUGGAUUAAUACCCCGUAACAUUAUGAAGUGGCAUCACUUUAUAAUUAUAGAUUUAUCGCUUAAAGAUGGCUGUGCGACUGAUUAGGUAGUUGGCGGGGUAACGGCCCACCAAGCCUGCGAUCAGUAACUGGUGUGAGAGCACGACCAGUCACACGGGCACUGAGACACGGGCCCGACUCCUACGGGAGGCAGCAGUAAGGAAUAUUGGUCAAUGGACGCAAGUCUGAACCAGCCAUGCCGCGUGGAGGAUGAAGGUCCUCUGGAUUGUAAACUUCUUUUAUUUGGGAAGAAACCCACGUUUUCUAAUGUGGUUGACGGUACCAGAUGAAUAAGCACCGGCUAACUCCGUGCCAGCAGCCGCGGUAAUACGGAGGGUGCAAGCGUUAUCCGGAUUCACUGGGUUUAAAGGGUGCGUAGGCGGGUUGGUAAGUCCGUGGUGAAAUCUCCAAGCUUAACUUGGAAACUGCCGUGGAUACUAUCAAUCUUGAAUGUCGUGGAGGUAAGCGGAAUAUGUCAUGUAGCGG
rnacentral:rRNA from 1 species